rnacentral:lncRNA from 1 species
CUUAGGUCCAAAAAUAAACAGUAAAGUUGGAUCCCUCUUUUAAAGUAAGUAGGAAGUAGGAUAUCUGUCAAGAAACUCGGCACUUUAUCAAUUUACUCUUGAUUUUUCUUGGUUGCAUCAACAUACAAGAUUCCAGCUUCUUUCCUAUACUAUAUCCAACAUCACACGAGUUUUGUGGUGGAUUCAAGUUGCAGGAUUGCGUAAUGCUCAGCCACCUUGUUAUUUGGGUUUUGAGCUGCAGAGAUAUCUCCAUCCAAUAUAUGUUUAGUAUCAAGCUGAUUAAUUAAAAAUAUUUGGGACACUUUAACUUGACCAAUUCUUUUUCCUUACUACAUCUGAUUGGAAUCUGAAAGGGUUUUCUUUUAUGGGUAAAGUUCCUUUCUUUGAUGGCUGGACUUGUGAAUUUGACUUUUUGUUUGUAGGAUUAUUACUUGUAAGACUAUUUUCUUUAUCUUUAUUCAAGAUUUCAUCGACUCUAUUUCCUCCUCCUCUGGUGACAUCGGCGAGACUAACGAUACUCACUUAAACUUUCAUCUGCAUUUAAUUUUUUAGAUGGGUUUUUUUGAAUAGGGCAGAAUGUAGCAGAAGCCUCAUUAGUUGUUCAGAAGACUGAAAUUGGGUACCAAGAGGUGCACCUUUCUUCAUUCUUAUAACUCUAACAUUCCAUACAUCUGUUAACUAUUAUUUAUGAAUCUUAAAAUUAUUACAUUUCACAAUUUCCUAGAUUUUCAUUUUCUUUUAUUAUAUCUUGCCACCCUCUAUUAUCAAUGAGUUAAAAUCAAUAUAUUAUUUUAAUUUUCUCUCUCUUCUGGUUAUGCAUUUACACCAACCCAAUCGACAAGAUCGGCAGAUUCUUUAUCAUUCACAAAUUCAGAGUCUUAUAUCAUUCACAAAUUUUAGAUGAAUAUUUAUUCUGAAACUUUGUUAGGUUCUUUGUUUUUUCAAUUUUGACUUUGUGUUUCCAUUGAAUAUUGGUUAUAUAUUUUUGUAGCAUAUGCAUAUGUAUAUGUUCGUGUUAUUGUGUUAGGUAAAUUUGGGGCAGUGUAUUGAUGAUGAAGCUGAUAUUCUGUGGGAAAUUCGAGUACAAGACUCAACAGUUGGAUUUGGAGCGAUUGUUCUGCAGAUAUGGAAGAGUUGAACGCGUUGACAUGAAAUCCGGUAAAUAAAUUGCAUUUUUUGGUGUUUAUCAAGAUAAUGUGAUAUCUGUAUCUUGAUAUUUCACUGUUAUUUCUUGAUUAUUGUAUGUAAAG